rnacentral:sRNA from 1 species
AUACGCCGAAUGCCGCGCCCUGUAAACCAACAGAAGCGGCAGCGGGAGAACCAAUUAUUGGGGUGUAUUUGCCCGGAGAUACAAUGAGCGCCACGUAUCCCGGCAAUAGGGAACCUUCUUUCCCGAACCCGUCAGCUAAUCUCGUAGGCGAAGGA